GGCUCAGAUUGAACGCUGGCGGCAUGCCUUACACAUGCAAGUCGAACGGCAGCACGGGUGCUUGCACCUGGUGGCGAGUGGCGAACGGGUGAGUAAUACAUCGGAACGUACCUUAUCGUGGGGGAUAACGCAGCGAAAGCUGUGCUAAUACCGCAUACGCCCUGAGGGGGAAAGCGGGGGAUCGAAAGACCUCGCGCGAUUAGAGCGGCCGAUGCCUGAUUAGCUUGUUGGUGGGGUAAAAGCCCACCAAGGCGACGAUCAGUAGCUGGUCUGAGAGGACGAUCAGCCACACUGGGACUGAGACACGGCCCAGACUCCUACGGGAGGCAGCAGUGGGGAAUUUUGGACAAUGGGGGAGACCCUGAUCCAGCAAUGCCGCGUGAGUGAAGAAGGCCUUCGGGUUGUAAAGCUCUUUUGUCAGGGAAGAAACACCGGCUCUAACACAGUCCGGGAAUGACGGUACCUGAAGAAUAAGCACCGGCUAACUACGUG
rnacentral:rRNA from 1 species